UGAACUAUGAGCUUCACCUGAAGGUGCACAUGGAAUGAGUCAAAGAACUCAGAAUAGAGAUAAACAUCGCUCUGAGCAUUUGACGCUAGCUGGUUGUGUUUAUAAUUUGCUUUUUAGUUUAUUAUUUUACCAUGCAAAAAUAGACAGUGAGUUGUACUUUUUGGUAGUUUGGGGGAUCUUAAUAUCAUAGGAAGAAAUUCUGUAUAUAUACAAAAUGUGCUUUGCCGUCAUUUGAGCAUGGUUCCUACAUGGUCCUAAAAUAACAUUUUAAAAGGAAAUUUUAAUUUGAGGAAAGUAUAACAAACGGAUUUUUUAUUUAAUAAGUAAAAUGGCAGCCUCCUUGGCCAUGCAUUGUCCAAGGCUUUGAGGGUGUGCACCCCUUCAAGUAAACCAUCUAUGGUUAGAAUCGGCAGAUCAUACUAUAUCACAUAAAUGCAAGAACAGUCUUGAUACUUUCCAUGCCAGUUUAAUUUACAUGUGCUUUAAAUUGAUACAUUAAAUAGUGUCAUAAAGUAUUUUCUACAUCCAUAUAUCAAAAUGGGCAAUAUAGUAACAUUAAGUUGACUCAUUAGGUAGUGUCAUUAAAGUACUUUCUGCAGAUUUUAUGAUGUUCCAAAGUUUAUAUGCUUCUCUAGUUUAUCUACUUGAAAUUCCUGAUAGAACACAACACGCAUGAGUAUCAUUA
rnacentral:lncRNA from 1 species